rfam:Laetiporus sulphureus 93-53 unplaced genomic scaffold LAESTscaffold_32, whole genome shotgun sequence.
UCCCGCUUAGCUCAGUUGGUAGAGCGCGUCACUAGUAAUGACGAGGUCAGUCGUUCGAGUCGGCUAGUGGGAA